rnacentral:rRNA from 1 species
CGGCGGACGGGUGAGUAACGCGUGGAUAACCUGCCUCACACAGGGGGAUAACAGUUAGAAAUGACUGCUAAUACCGCAUAAGCGCACAGUACCGCAUGGUACAGUGUGAAAAACUCCGGUGGUGUGGGAUGGAUCCGCGUCUGAUUAGGUAGUUGGUGGGGUAACGGCCCACCAAGCCGACGAUCAGUAGCCGACCUGAAAGGGUGACCGGCCACAUUGGGACUGAGACACGGCCCAA